AUGUGGGAAGGGGGCGUGCACGGGAGCCACCAGGACGCCGCGCGCCUGCUGCCCCCCUGGCUCGGAGGAGGCCCGGCCGCGUUCGCCGACCCGGUCGGCACCGCGGUUGGGUCCGGGUUCGGGGUCGGCGGCUACGCCUGCGACGUCGUCGGGCAAGCAGGCGGGGUGUUCGGGUUCGGGUUCGAGGCGGCCGUGGUGGCGGCGCAGCAGCAGCAUCACCAGCAGCGCGCGGCGGAGGCGGCGGCGGCCGGGGGCAGCAAGGCCGUCGUGUCCGGGCUGCUCGGGAGCCUGCAGGCGGAGCUGGGCCGCAUGAACGCCGGGGAGAUCAUGGACGCCAAGGCGCUGGCCGCGUCGCGGAGCCACAGCGAGGCCGAGCGCCGCCGGCGGCAGCGGAUCAACGGGCACCUCGCCAGGCUCCGCAGCCUCCUCCCCAACACCACCAAGACUGACAAGGCGUCGCUGCUUGCCGAGGUGCUGGAGCACGUCAAGGAGCUGAAGCGGCAGACCUCGGCGAUGACGAUGAUGGCUGCGGCCGUCGGGGGCGACGAAGAUGACAACGCCGCGCCGGUGCAGAUGCUGCCCACGGAGGCCGACGAGCUGAGCGUCGAUGCGGCGGAAGACGGCGAGGGGCGGCUCGUGGUGCGGGCGUCGCUGUGCUGCGAGGACCGCCCGGACCUCAUCCCCGACAUCAUCCGGGCGCUCGCGGCGCUCCGGCUACGCGCGCACCGGGCGGAGAUCACCACGUUGGGCGGCCGCGUCCGGAGCGUGCUCCUCAUCACGGCCGAGGAGGGCGAGGAGGGCGGCGACGAGGGCGGUGACGGCAUCGACGAGGAGUGCACCGCAUCUCACCGGAGGCACGAGUGCAUCGCGUCGGUCCAGGAGGCGCUGCGCGGCGUCAUGGACCGCAGGGCGGCGUGCAGCAACGACACGUCGUCGUCCGGCGGUGGCGGGAGCAUCAAGAGGCAGCGCAUGAACUACGGGGCGCAUGAGCAGUGCUCGGUUUAG
rnacentral:rRNA from 1 species